UCCAGGCAAAUCCGGAUAAUCAAGGCUGAGGUGUGAUGACGAGGCACUACGGUGCUGAAGUAACAAAUGCCCUGCUUCCAGGAAAAGCCUCUAAGCAUCAGGUAACAUUAAAUCGUACCCCAAACCGACACAGGUGGUCAGGUAGAGAAUACCAAGGCGCUUGAGAGAACUCGGGUGAAGGAACUAGGCAAAAUGGUGCCGUAACUUCGGGAGAAGGCACGCUGGUGUGUAGGUGAAGUCCCUGCGGAUGGAGCUGAGACCAGUCGAAGAUACCAGCUGGCUGCAACUGUUUAUUAAAAACACAGCACUGUGCAAACACGAAAGUGGACGUAUACGGUGUGACGCCUGCCCGGUGCCGGAAGGUUAAUUGAUGGGGUUAUCCGUAAGGAGAAGCUCUUGAUCGAAGCCCCGGUAAACGGCGGCCGUAACUAUAACGGUCCUAAGGUAGCGAAAUUCCUUGUCGGGUAAGUUCCGACCUGCACGAAUGGCGUAAUGAUGGCCAGGCUGUCUCCACCCGAGACUCAGUGAAAUUGAACUCGCUGUGAAGAUGCAGUGUACCCGCGGCAAGACGGAAAGACCCCGUGAACCUUUACUAUAGCUUGACACUGAACAUUGAGCCUUGAUGUGUAGGAUAGGUGGGAGGCUUUGAAGCGUGGACGCCAGUCUGCGUGGAGCCAACCUUGAAAUACCACCCUUUAAUGUUUGAUGUUCUAACGUUGGCCCCUUACCGGGGUUGCGGACAGUGUCUGGUGGGUAGUUUGACUGGGGCGGUCUCCUCCCAAAGCGUAACGGAGGAGCACGAAGGUUAGCUAAUCCUGGUCGGACAUCAGGAGGUUAGUGCAAUGGCAUAAGCUAGCUUGACUGCGAGCGUGACGGCGCGAGCAGGUGCGAAAGCAGGUCAUAGUGAUCCGGUGGUUCUGAAUGGAAGGGCCAUCGCUCAACGGAUAAAAGGUACUCCGGGGAUAACAGGCUGAUACCGCCCAAGAGUUCAUAUCGACGGCGGUGUUUGGCACCUCGAUGUCGGCUCAUCACAUCCUGGGGCUGAAGUAGGUCCCAAGGGUAUGGCUGUUCGCCAUUUAAAGUGGUACGCGAGCUGGGUUUAGAACGUCGUGAGACAGUUCGGUCCCUAUCUGCCGUGGGCGCUGGAGAAUUGAGGGGGGCUGCUCCUAGUACGAGAGGACCGGAGUGGACGCAUCACUGGUGUUCGGGUUGUCAUGCCAAUGGCACUGCCCGGUAGCUAAAUGCGGAAGAGAUAAGUGCUGAAAGCAUCUAAGCACGAAACUUGCCCCGAGAUGAGUUCUCCCUGAGACUUUAAGUCUCCUGAAGGAACGUUGAAGACGACGACGUUGAUAGGCCGGGUGUGUAAGCGCAGCGAUGCGUUGAGCUAACCGGUACUAAUGAACCGUGAGGCUUAACCUU
rnacentral:rRNA from 1 species